UCUCCGUAGGUGAACCUGCGGAGGGAUCAUUACAGAGCUCUCGCCCUUACGGGUAGAUCUCCCACCCACUGUUAUCGUUACUGUCGUUUCUUUGGCGGGCCGCCGGGUCCCCCGGCCGCCAGCGUCUAAUAGGCGGCGCGCGCCCGCCAGAGGCCUUCAAACUCUGAAUGUUAGUGUCGUCUGAGUACUAUAUAAUAGUUAAAACUUUCAACAACGGAUCUCUUGGUUCUG
rnacentral:misc_RNA from 1 species